AAUGUCGCUCCAAGCGUGAAAUGCCAUCCUUGUAUCCCCAAGCUAAAGGCAUAGUAUAUGCACUCAAGGAAAAGGGGAUUGACAUGGCCAUUGCUUCUAGAUCACCAACCUCAGAUAUUGCAAAGACAUUUAUUGACAAACUAAGUCUCAAGCCAAUGUUUGUAGCACAGGUGAGUCAGCAAGAACUAAGAAUCGUUUUUUGUUUCUUUUAAAAUCUUUACUGUGCAAUGAGUAACAGGGUCAACCAAUUGUGUUUCUUACUCGAGAACAUGACUAGCAGGGUUAUAGUUUAGUAGAACAUAGUCCUGAAAGGGAAGGAGAAAGAUGUAGCGUCUAACACACAGGGUUUGUAAAGUGUUGGAUACCGAAUUGUUUCUUGGAAUAGCUCAUGAUGUUGAGGAUUAAUUUAGUGCCUAAUAACUUGAUUUGAGUGAUGAGCCUGUUGAGUUUCAUCAUAUCAAAUAGGUAAGAAACUCUUAAGUCUAUUGUGUUUGUGAUGAUCUUUUUACACGAUCUGUAUUUCUGGGUCACUUCUGCUUAGUAUAAGUGGCUGGUGCUUGCCUUUGAUGAGAAAAGAGGAAUUAGGAGUUACCUGUUUGUGCCAAAAAGAUUAAAAUGUUCUAUCAUUCUGCUAGCUCGGAGUUCUAUUUUCUGCUCACUGUUCUUGGAGAAUGUUUUGUUUUCCAUGUUGCUUUUGUAUGCACUUCAUGUUCCCAUAUGAAAUUAUAUUCAUCUAUCAUCAAGAGGAACUACUCCUUUGUUUGGCUUACAUGGUGAGUGAUUUUUUCUGACUAUUCAGGAAAUAUUUUCCAGUUGGACUCACAAGACAGAUCAUUUCCAGAGGAUUCAUUCGAGGACUGGGAUACCCUUUAACUCCAUGCUUUUUUUUGAUGAUGAGGAUAGGAACAUUCAAUCGGUAAAAACAAAACUUUCCUGCUUCCCCUGUCUUCUAAUUUUAUGAGUUGGAUCCUUUAAAAUCUUGUAUUUUUUUUGUAAUGAAUUGCCAAUUUCCCUGUAGAGUCCUCUAUUCCGUUUAAAAGAAUUUCUUUGUGAACAGGUUUCAAAAAUGGGAGUAACUAGCAUUCUGGUUGGUGAUGGGGUCAAUCUUGGAGCACUAAGACAGGGGCUCACAGAAUUUUCUCAAAAUGCUAGUAAAUCUGAGAAGAACAAGCAGUGGCAGAAAUAUUCACAAAAUCUAAAUUCAUCUGAGAAGAAGGAUGAAGAUUGAACUUUUUGCACAUGCACAAACGGAACUGGAGAUUAAGGCAAUGAAAAUGUUACCAGGCAAGGGUUGAAUUUGGGAGGACACAUUUAAUUCGUAUAAAUUAAGAUCUAUUGUUGUAUUAUUUAUACCACAAGAACUCCUCAAGAGUGUUUACUUCCCACAACAAUGCUUUCUCUGCCUCUCUGGUAACAUGCCGUUUAUUCAAAGCAAUUACGUGUUCUAAUAGUGCUGCAUCACAUGGCAAUGUGAGAGGUCCAUCGCCAGACAAACAAUACUCUUCUUCUGCCAAUUUGAGUAGCUUUCUGAGAAUUUUGCUGUGUAGUUAUUCCUAAGGAAGCAAAAGUCGUUUCUGAUGAGCAGAAUACACCACAAAAUGACCCUUCUCAGCUGGUGCGACAACUGCUUGUGUCUGUUCUCCCAAAGGGUUGUGGCAGAGUGCUUGUUUUUCUCCUAGUAGCAGCUAGUUUCUGCCAUCUCCUUGCCAAUUUGAUGAUCAUCUUGGUACUGAUCAUAAAAACUACAACAUAAAAAGAAAUUAAUGAGAUAAGCAACAAUGGGCUGUCAACUCCCCAAAGCGAGUGCCUUUUCACCAAUCCAUUAGUUUAUCCAAGCAGCCGAAAAUCAAAGAUGCAGAACAAGGAAUUGAAGAACAUAAUGUUACACAUGAAGAAGAUCUCCAAACAUUACAUUAUAACUAGAUUACAAUUACAGAUAUCUAAAAUAGCUAGGAAGUCGUUGUAAUGAUCUACAAUACACAAAACUGUUUUUCUUCCAAUUUUGUUCUCAAGUUUUUUUUCAAUUGCAGUCUUCUAUGACUAGAUUGUUGACCUUUUUUUAAAAAAAAAAAAAUGUUAAGGAAAUAAAAAUUUCAAUCAAAGAGGAUUGAAGUGUGAAAUAAAAAAGAACUCAUGACCAAUCUUAAAUUCAUGCAAAAAAAGUAAUUUUUAGUCCACUUAUUUUUCUUUUUCUGAUUUUACAGACCCUAUAGUUUUUGAAAUUUUAGUUCUGAUCCAAAAGUUCAUUUUGUUUGUUUUUCAGUUCUUUAGUGUGAGAUGAAAGAGAGAAAAUCAUCGGAUAACAGCGAAACAAAGAAGUUGUCGUUGAUCACAUUUCCUACAAAAAAGAGUCUAGUCUUGGUGUUAACAAAUUCAUUAAGGUGUUUUUAGAUCUUCAUCUCGUUAGAAAAAAUGGAUCGGGGUUGAGAGAAUUUUUAUCGGUUUGAUUUUGUGCUUUUAGAUUGAUUUAAAGGUGUUUUAGGUUGGAAAAUUGAUUUAUUAAGAUAGUAAGGGUGUAUUUUAGUUGUUUUCGAUGAAAAUUGGCUUAAAAAAAAUGAUGUUUUCAACCCAAAAAACCUCUAGUCUAGAUUUUUUGACGGUCUUUCUAAUGACUAGGAAUCUAGAAUAGUAAACGACAUGUGAUCUAUUAUUAUUAUUUUUUUUUUACAUGAAGGCCAUUAUAAAUAGAAAACAAAAGAAAAGGAAGGCCAAGCACAUGGGUUUAGCUUACAGCCAUCUAAGAUCGGACCUCACCUUUUUUGUUUUUUUUUUUUUAGUAAAUUUUUUGAAUGCAUUAAAUUUUUUGAAUAUUAUAUUUAAGUUAUUAUUCAAUUUACUCAUAGUUCUCAAAUAAUAUUAUAGGCUUUUAUCUAACAUUUAUUUUUCAAUUAUUAUGUGCAUAAUGUGAAAAAAAGUAUCAUGGUUAAAUUAAAAUUUAUGUUUUUUAAAAUUUUUAAUCAAUUUUUUAUAUAAUUCAAUAUAGAAUUUCCAAUGUAUUAUUUUUUUUUAAUUUUUAAUUGCAUUCCCUUCAUAAUAAUGAAAACAUUUUUUUUAAAAAAAUUGCUCUUAUGAUUUUGAUAAUUAUUUUUUAACAGAUAAAUAUUCAGAUAAACAAAUUGCUAAAAAAGGUAUAAUCAAUGCAUUUCUGCAGCAUCAAUUUACUUUUUUUUAAUCACAACUUGAGUAGAUAUAAAUGGGGAGGUAUUAGAAAAAAGCCCUUUCCCUUGCUCCAAUCUUGACCUUUCCACCAUCAAGCCUUGCUAAGUUAAUUAACAAUUAAAGCAAGAUCGAAUGGAUGUCUUAGAGAAAGCUCCUUGAUCUGUGUUCAUCCCAGCCUCACAUCCUGGCUGGGUUCAUCUUCUUUCUGAUGAAGUAAAAUUUGCACUACCUUAAGGGAUGCAUUUGUUCAUGAUCUGAUGAGAGAGUCUUGGGUAUACUCUUGUGUAAAUUAUAAUUUAGAUCCUUUGAUUUUAUUGAUUAUGUAAAAUUAUAGCCUAUGUCUUUUAACCAAAGUUAAUUGUUUCCUCUCUCUAUAUAACAUGUGUCAUAUCCUUUGAUUUUAUUUAUUUUAUAAGAUAUUAACCUAAGUUUUUUAACCAAAGUUGACUAUUAAUUUCUUUUUAAAUGUAUGUGUUUUGGACGUAGUUUUUAGCAACAUAACAAGGGAUAAGUAAUGGUUUGCUCAAAUUCCUCUCUCUAUUUAAAAUGUGUCACACUCUUUGAUUUUAUUGAUUUUGUAAAAUUAUUACUUAAGUCUUUUGAUCAAAGUCGACUGUUAAUUCUGUUUAAAAAUGUAUGUGUUUUAGGCUUAGUUUUUAGCAACAUAACAAGGGAUAAUUAAUGGUUUGCUCAAGUUCUUCUCUCCACGUAACAUGUGUCACAUCCUUUGAUUUUGUAAAAUCAUAACCUAAGUCUUUUGAUCAAAGUUGACUAUUAAUUCUUUUUUAAAUAUAUGUGUUUUGGGCUUAGUCUUUAGCAACAUAACAAGGGAUAAUUAAUGGUUUUCUCAAGUUCUUUUCUCUACGUAACAUGUGUCACACCCUUUAAUUUUAUUGAUUUUGUAAGAUCAUAACCUAAGUUUUUUAACCAAAGUUGACUGUUAAUUCUUUUUUAAAUAUAUGUGUUUUGGGCUUAGUCUUUAACAACAUAACAAAGGAUAAUUAAUGGUUUGUUCAAGUUCUUCUCUCUACAUAACAUGUGUCACACUCUUUGAUUUUGUAAAAUCAUAACCUAAUUUUUUUAUAUAAAAAAUGACUGUUAAUUUUUUUUUAAAAAAAUGUAUGUCUUUUGAGCUUAAUCUUUAACAAUACAACAAGGAAUAAUUAAUAAUUUGCUCAAGUUCUCCUCUCUAUAUGACACGUGUCUCUCCUAAUGUACUAGCUUUGUCACCCUUCAAAGGAUUGAAAAAACAAAGAGUUAAACAAUGUUUAUAAUUAGUGGAUCUCUUACCUAUGCUAAAUAAUGGGAAAAAAAACAACAUUCUUAAAUAUAAUAGUGAUCAAUGUCAAAUAUUAUGUUCUCUUUUGCUUUUGUUUUUGUUUAUAUAUAUAUAUAUAUAUAUAUAUAUAUAUAUAUAUAGUUAUUGUAGGAUAUAAAGAUUGUAACUUCGGUGUAUUAUUGUAUUUUUGUUCUUAUGUUUGUUAAUGCCAAGAUGGGAUUUUUAGUUUUAAUGUUAAAUUAUUUCAGUUUAGUUUUGAGUGACUCUUGUUAAAAUACAUUAAUUUGUAGUACAUGUGAAUUCGAUUAUUUGUUUGAUUGGUUUUUAUUUAUGUUUUUAAAAUUUUAAAAAAACAUUGAUAUUUUAAGUUGAUUUAUUUGGAAAUAUUAUUUAUUUUAAUAUUUUAUUUUAAAUAUAAAAAUUAUUAUAAAUUAUUCAAAUUUAUUUAUGAAUUGAAUUGAAUUCUUCAAGAAUUCACAUAUAUAUAUAUAUAUAUAUAUAACCAUAUGAGCUUCACUAACUACUUAAUCAUGAAGGAAUGAUCUGAUUGAGAAUUUAUCAAUACAAUAAGGACCUAAUUGAGAAAGAAAAUAGAUUGGGUCCUAUAAAUUAUUGGCUUGUUUUGGGCCAUGACCAUAAAAAUUCAGAAGUCCACCUGAACAUUGUGUUUUCUUUGUCAAACAAAUACCAAUUAGAUUUAUUUAUUAUUAUUUUUCUUUCAACCAAGAACACCGAGCGACCAAACGCUUAAAAUUCUCUCAAAUUCUUUCGGAAAGGCAAAAGCAAGCAGAAAGAUGGGAGACGAGACGGUGAAAAACGAUGCUUUGCAAAUUAUUGGAAUGUUUCAAGUGCUGCCUAGAUUGGUCGUCUUCGAUCUAGAUUACACUCUCUGGCCUUUCUAUUGGUACCCUUCUUUCCUUGCAGCCACAUGCAUGUAGACAUAAAGUUGUGUCAAAUAUAAUGUUCCUUUUGUCAUGCUUUCUUCUCUAAUGUUGUUAUUUUCAUGUGGGUUUCUCACGCUUUGCUCUGCUUCUGUGUUACUGGGAAACUUUCUUGUUAAAAAUUGUAACUUGGUAUUAUAUGUUUGUGUUAUUUAUUAAGAUUGUUAGUAUCAGGAAAAAAUUUUUAAAUUAAAAUCUGAAUUACUGGAGAGCUGAAAUGGACUUGCUAGUAUGUUGGAAAAAAUGUUUGUAGUUUUAAUGAGAAUUUGUUUUUAAUUUCUUGGAGGGUACUUUUAAUGUUGUUUGAAUUGAAGCCUUGAAGUUAGUUUGUAAUAUGGUGUUGAUUGAAUGUGGGUUGAGUUGUUCAACUUAGUAUUUAGCCCUUCAUGGUUCACGCACCUCAUUGUAUGUAAUAUAAGUAAUUUGACAAUUAAUUUUGCAGCUAAUGUUUUUUCUACACAUUUAAUAACGUUUGAAACAUCAGUGGAAGCAAAACAUUCAGCAGUUGAUCGCGCUGGUACAUUCAACUUUUGCACCUUACCUGCAUAUAAUGAUACUAAUGGCCUAUUUGGUCUUUAGAACCUUGCAUUAGUUUAAUAAAAAAAAAGGUACUAUCUUUGUAGUACUUGAUUAUUUAAACAUUAGAAUGGUUUCUUUUUAUUUUCUCCUUGUGCCAAUGUUUUUUUGGUUCUUCAUGGUCUAAAGUUUGAUUCAAUUAUGGUUGUUAUUCAGCGAUUGUCUCUCCAAGCGUGAAAUGCCAUACUUGUAUCCCCAAGCUAAAGGCAUAGUAUAUGCACUCAAGGAAAAGGGGAUUGACAUGGCCAUUGCUUCUAGAUCACCAACCUCAGAUAUUGCAAAGACAUUUAUUGACAAACUAAAUCUCAAGCCAAUGUUUGUAGCACAGGUGAGUCAGCAAGAACUAAGAAUCGUUUUUUUUUUUCUUUUAAAAUCUUUACUGUGCAAUGAGUAACAGGGUCAACCAAUUGUGUUUCUUACUCGAGAACAUGACUAGCAGGGUCAUAGUUUAGUAGAACAUAGUUCUGAAAGGGAAGGAGAAAGAUGUAGCGUCUAACACACAGGGUUUGUAAAGUGUUGGAUACCGAAUUGUUUCUUGGAAUGGCUCAUGAUGUUGAGGAUUAAUUUAGUGCCUAAUAACUUGAUUUGAGUGAUGAGCCUGUUGAGUUUCAUCAUAUCAAAUAGGUAAGAAACUCUUAAGUCUAUUGUGUUUCUGAUGAUCCUUUUACACGAUCUGUAUUUCUGGGUCACUUCUGCUUAGUAUAAGUGGCUGGUGCUUGCCUUUGAUGAGAAACGAGGAAUUAGGAGUUACCUGUUUGUGCCAAAAAGAUUGGAAUGUUCUAUCAUUCUGCUAGCUCGGAGUUCUAUUUUCCGGUCACCGUUGUCUUGGAGACUGUUUUGUUUUCCAUGUUGCUUUUGUAUGCACUUCAUGUUCCCCAUAUGAAAUUAUAUUCAUCUAUCAUCAAGAGGAACUACUGCUUUGUUUGGCUUACAUGGUGAGUGAUUUUUUCUGACUAUUCAGGAAAUAUUUUCCAGUUGGACUCACAAGACAGAUCAUUUCCAGAGGAUUCAUUCGAGGACUGGGAUACCCUUUAACUCCAUGCUUUUUUUUGAUGAUGAGGAUAGGAACAUUCAAUCGGUAAAAACAAAACUUUCCUGCUUCCCCUGUCUUCUAAUUUUAUGAGUUGGAUCCUUACAUCUUGUAUUUUUUUUGUAAUGAACUGCCAAUUUCCCUGUAGAGUCCUCUGUUCCGUUUAAAAGAAUUUCUUUGUGAACAGGUUUCAAAAAUGGGAGUGACUAGCAUUCUGGUUGGUGAUGGGGUCAAUCUUGGAGCACUAAGACAGGGGCUCACAGAAUUUUCUCAAAAUGCUAGUAAAUCUGAGAAGAACAAGCAGAGGUGGCAGAAAUAUUCACAAAAUCCAAAUUCAUCUGAGAAGAAAGAUGAAGAUUGAACAUUUUGCACAUGCGCAAACGGAACUGGAGAUUAAGGCAAUGAAAUUGUUACCAGGCAAGGGUUGAAUUUGGGAGGACACAUUUUAUUCGUAUAAAUUAAGAUCUAUUGUUGUAUUAUUUAUACCACAAGAACUCCUCAAGAGUGUUUAAUUCUGGUACAUCUUCCCACAUUAAAUCAAGAGCAUUGAGCUUGUAUACAUGAUUUUGAUUCAUGAUUUAUCUCCCAUUCUUGUUCUGAAAUGGAUGCAAUUGUAGUUCACGGUUUAUUGCUGAUGCUGCCUGAUUACCUUAAUUCGUGUUCAUUUAUAUCCCAUCAUUUAAUUGUAGCUCACAUUUCAUUACUCAGCAUCACUUGAUGCAGCUGCUUCUCUCUGAUCAUCUAGAACCAUGUAACGGUGACAUAAACUCUUGAAUCAAAGGAUAUAGGCUGUUCUCUUUUAAUUCCCCAAGGAGAAACAUGUCUCAAGGAUUACGCAUGCAAAAUCCCUAUAAUUUUUUAUUCCAGAACUACAAUUGACUGUUUGUCUAAAUUUUCAUCAUUUGUCAAAGCAUUCAAGGUCUGUCAACUAAACUUGGGUGACUAAUUCACAAGUGUAAUUUACCCUGCAGAGCUAUAAAGUGGCAUUUUAUGGUCUGUGACUUGAUGAUAAUGAUCCGAAGAACAUGAGCAGCAAUUGCUGGCUAUGGGCAUCAACGAUGCUUUCUCUACCUCUCUGUAACAUGCCGUUUAUUCAAAGCAAUUACGUGUUCUAAUAGUGCUGCAUCACAUGGAAUUGUAAGAGGUCCAUCGCCAGACAAACCAUACUCUUCUUCUGCCAAUUUGAGUAGCUUUCUGAGAAUUUUGCUGUGUAGUUAUUCCCAAGGAAGCAAAAGUCGUUUCUGAUACACCACAAAAUGACCCUUCUCAGCUGGUGCGACAACUGCUUGUGUCUGUUCUCCCAAAGGGUUGUGGCAGAGUGCUUGUUUUUCUCAUAGUAGCAGCUAGUUUCUUCCCUCCCCUUGCCAAUUUGAUGAUCAUCUUGGUACUGAUCAUAAAAACAACAACAUAAAAAGAAAUUAAUGAGAUAAACAACAAUGGGCUGUCAACUCCCCAAAGCGAGUGCCUUUUCACCAAUCCAUUAGUUUAUCCAAGCAGCCAAAAAUCAAAGAUGCAGAACAAGGAAUUGAAGAACAUAAUGUUACACAUGAAGAUCUCGAAACAUUACAUUAUAACUAGAUUACAAUUACAGAUAUCUAAAAUAGCUAGGAAGUCGUUGUAAUGAUCUACAAUACACAAAACUGUUUUUCUUCCAAUUUUGUUCUCAAGUUUUUUUUUCAAUUGCAGUCUUCUAUGACUAGAUUGUUGACCUUUUUUAAAAAAAAAAUGUUAAGGAAAUAAAAAUUUCAAUCAAAGAGGAUUAAAGUGUGAAAUAAAAAAAAACAUCAUGACCAAUCUUAAAUUCAUGCAAAAAAAGUAAUUUUUAGUCCACUUAUUUUUCUUUUUCUGAUUUUACAGACCCUAUAGUUUUUGAAAUUUUAGUUCUGAUUCAAAAGUUCAUUUUAUUUGUUUUUCAGUUCUUUAGUGUGAGAUAGAAGAGAGAAAAUCAUCGGAUAACAGCGAAACAAAGAAGCUGUCGUUGAUCACAUUUCCUACAAAAAAGAGUCUAAUCUUGGUGUUAACAGAUUCAUUAAAUUGUUUUUAGAUCUUCUUCUCGUCAGAAAAAAUGGAUCGAUGUUGAGAGAAUUUUUAUCGGUUUGAUUUUGUGCUUUUAGAUUGAUUUAAAGGUGUUUUAGGUUGGAAAAUUGAUUUAUUAAGAUAGUAAGGGUGUAUUUUAGUUGUUUUCGAUGAAAAUUGGCUUAAAAAAAAUGAUGUUUUCAACCCAAAAAAACUCUAGUCUAGAUUUUUUGACAGUCUUUCUAAUGACUAGGAAUCUAGAAUAGUAAACGACAUGUGAUCUAUAUUUUUUUUUUUUUUACAUGAAGGCCAUUAUAAAUAGAAAAAGAAAAAAAGAAAGGCCAAGUACUUGGGUUUAGCUUACAGCAAUCUAAGAUCGGAACUCACCUCUUUUGUUUUUUUUUUUUUUUAGUAAAUUUUUUGAAUGCAUUAAAUUUUUUGAAUAUUAUAUUUAAGUUAUUAUUCAAUUUACUCAUAGUUCUCAAAUAAUAUUAUAGGCUUUUAUCUAACAUUUAUUUUUCAAUUAUUAUGUGCAUAAUGUGAAAAAAAAAGUAUCAUGGUUAAAUUAAAAUUUAUGUUUUUUAAAAUUUUUAAUCAAUUUUUUAUAUAAUUCAAUAUAGAAUUUCCAAUGUAUUAUUUUUUUUAAUUUUUAAUUACAUUCCCUUCAUAAUAAUGAAAACAUUUUUUUUAAAAAAUUGCUCUUAUGAUUUUGAUAAUUCUUUUUUAACAGAUAAAUAUUCAGAUAAACAAAUUGCCAAAAAAGGUAUAAUCAAUGCAUUUCUGCAGCAUCAAUUUACUUAUUUUUAAUCAUAACUUGAGUAGAUAUAAAUGGGGAGGUAUUAGAAAAAAGCCCUUUCCCUUGCUCCCAUCUUGACCUUUCCACCAUCAAGCCUUGCUAAGUUAAUUAACAGUUAAAGCAAGAUCUAAUGGCUGUCUUAGAGAAAGCUCCCUGAUCUGUGUUCAUCUCAGCCUCACAUCCUGGCUGGGUUCAUCUUCUUUCUGAUGAAGUAAAAUUUGCACUACUUUGAGGGAUGCAUCUGCUCAUGAUUUGAUAGAGAGAGUCUUGGGUGUACUCUUGUGUAAAUUAUAAUUUAGACCCUUUGAUUUUAUUGAUUUUGUAAAAUUAUAGCCUAUGUCUUUUAACCAAAGUUGAUUGUUUCCUCUCUCUAUGUAACAUGUGUUACAUUCUUUGAUUUUAUUGAUUUUAUAAGAUAAUAACCUAAGUUUUUUAACCAAAGUUGACUGUUAAUUCCUUUUUAAAUGUAUGUGUUUUGGGCGUAGUCUUUAGUAAUAUAACAAGGGAUAAGUAAUGGUUUGCUAAGUUCCCCUCUCUAUGUAAAACGUGUCACACACUUUGAUUUUAUUGAUUUUGUAAAAUUAUAACCUAAGUUUUUUUUUUUAUCAAAGUUGACUGUUAAUUCUGUUUAAAAAUAUAUGUAUUUUAGGCUUAGUCUUUAGCAACAUAACAAGGGAUAAUUAAUGGUUUGCUCAAGUUCUUCUCUCUACGUAACAUGUGUCAUACCUUUUGAUUUUAUUGAUUUUGUAAAAUCAUAACCUAAGUCUUUUAAUCAAAGUUGACUGUUAAUUCUUUUUUAAAUGUAUGUGUUUUGGGCUUAGUCUUUAGCAACAUAACAAGGGAUAAUUAAUGGUAUGCUCAAGUUCUUCUCUCUACAUAACAUGUGUCACACCCUUUGAUUUUAUUGAUUUUGUAAGAUCAUAACCUAAGUUUUUUAACCAAAGUUGACUGUUAAUUCUUUUUUAAAUAUAUGUGUUUUGGGCUUAGUCUUUAGCAACAUAACAAAGGAUAAUUAAUGGUUUGUUCAAGUUCUUCUCUCUACGUAACAUGUGUCACACCCUUUGAUUUUAUUGAUUUUGUAAAAUCAUAACCUAAUUUUAUUUUUUUUUAUCAAAAAUGACUGUUAUUUUUUUUUAAAUGUAUGUGUUUUGAGCUUAAUCUUUAACAAUAUAACAAGGAAUAAUUAAUAAUUUGCUCAAGUUCUCCUCUCUAUAUGACACGUGUCUUUUCAAAUAUACUAACUUCAUCAUCCCUCAAAGGAUUGAAAAAACAAAGAGUCUAAACAAUGUUUAUAGUUAGUGGAUCUCUUACCUCCCCUAUUUUAUACGAGAAAUGCUAAAUAAUGGGAAAAAAACAACGUUCUUAAAUAUAUUAGUGAUGAAUGUCAAACAUUAUGUUCUAUUUUGCUUUUGUUUUUGUUUAUAUAUAUAUAUAUAUAUAUAUAUAGUUAUUGAAGGAUAUUCUUGUUUUGUUUUGUUUUAUUAGAAUAUUUGAACGAUAAAGAUUGUAACUUUGGUGUAUUAUUGUAUUUUUGUUCUUAUGUUUGUUAACGCCAAGAUGAGAUUUUUAGUUUCAACAUUAAAUUAUUUCAGUUUAGUUUUGAGUGACUCCAUUGAUAUCUUAAAAUACACUAAUUUGCAGUGAAAAGUACAUGUGAAUUCAAUUAUUUUUUUAUUUGUUUUUAUUUAUGUUUUUAAAAUUUUAAAAAACCUAGAUAUUUUAAGCUGAUUUAUUUGGAAAUAUUAUUUAUUUUAAUAUGUUAUUUUAAAUAUAAAAAUUAUAAUAAGUUAUUUAAAUUUAUUUAUGAAUUGAAUUGAAUUCUUCAAGAGUUCAUAUAUAUAUAUAUAUAACCAUAUGAGCUUCACUAACUACUUAAUCAUGAAGGAAUGAUCUGAUUGAGAAUUUAUCAAUACAUUAAGGACCUAAUUGAGAAAGAAAAUAGAUUGGGUCCUAUAAAUUAUUGGCUUGUUUUGGGCCCUGACCAUAAAAAUUCAGAAGUCCACCUGAACAUUGUGUUUUCUUUGUCAAACAAAUACCAAUCACCGAGCGACCAAACGCUUAAAAUUGUCUCAAAUUCUUUCGGAAAGGCAAAAGCAAGCAGAAAGAUGGGAGACGAGACGGUGAAAAACGAUGCUUUGCAAAUUAUUGGAAUGUUUCAAGUGCUGCCUAGAUUGGUCGUCUUCGAUCUAGAUUACACUCUCUGGCCUUUCUAUUGGUACCUUUCUUUCUUUACAGCCACAUGCAUGAAGACAUAAAGUUGUGUCAAAUAUUAUGUUCCUUUUGUCAUGCUUUCUUGUUUAAUGUUGUUAUUUUCAUGUGGGUUUCUCACGCUUUGCUCUGCUUUUGUGUUCCUGGGAAACUUUCUUGUUAAAAAUUGUAACUUGGUAUUAUAUGUUUGUGUUAUUUAUCAAGAUUGUUAGUAUCAGGAAAUUUUUUUUAAAUUAAAAUCUGAAUUACUGGAGAGCUGAAAUGGACUUGCUAGUAUGUUGGAAAAAAUGUUUGUAGUUUUAAUGAGAAUUUGUUUUUAAUUUCUUGGAGGGUACUUUUAAUGUUGUUUGAAUUGAAGCCUUGAAGUUAGUUUGUAAUAUGGUGUUGAUUGAAUGUGGGUUGAGUUGUUCAACUUAGUAUUUAGCCCUUCAUCGUUCACGCACCUCAUUGUAUGUAAUAUAAGUAAUUUGACAAUUAAUUUUGCAGCUAAUGUUUUUUCUACACAUUUAAUAACGUUUGAAACAUCAGUGGAAGCAAAACAUUCAGCAGUUGAUCGCGCUGGUACAUUCAACUUUUGCAUCUUACCUGCAUAUAAUGAUACUAAUGCCCUAUUUGGUCUUUAGAACCUUGCAUUAGUUUAAUAAAAAAAAAGUACUAUCUUUGUAGUACUUGAUUAUUUAAACAUUAGAAUGGUUUCUUUUUAUUUUCUCCUUGUGCCAAUGUUUUUUUGGUUCUUCAUGGUCUAAAUUUUGAUUCAAUUAUGGUUGUUAUUCAGCGAUUGUCUCUCCAAGCGUGAAAUGCCAUCCUUGUAUCCCCAAGCUAAAGGCAUAGUAUAUGCACUCAAGGAAAAGGGGAUUGACAUGGCCAUUGCUUCUAGAUCACCAACCUCAGAUAUUGCAAAGACAUUUAUUGACAAACUAAGUCUCAAGCCAAUGUUUGUAGCACAGGUGAGUCAGCAAGAACUAAGAAUCGUUUUUUUUUCCUUUUAAAAUCUUUACUGUGCAAUGAGUAACAGGGUCAAUCAAUUGUGUUUCUUACUCGAGAACAUGACUAGCAGGGUCAUAGUUUAGUAGAACAUAGUCCUGAAAGGGAAGGCGAAAGAUGUAGCGUCUAACACACAGGGUUUGUAAAGUGUUGGAUACCGAAUUGUUUCUUGGAAUAGCUCAUGAUGUUGAGGAUUAAUUUAGUGCCUAAUAACUUGAUUUGAGUGAUGAGCCUCUUGAGUUUCAUCAUAUCAAAUAGGUAAGAAACUCUUAAGUCUAUUGUGUUUCUGAUGAUCUUUUUACACGAUCUGUAUUUCUGGGUCACUUCUGCUUAGUAUAAGUGGCUGGUGCUUGCCUUUGAUGAGAAACGAGGAAUUAGGAGUUACCUGUUUGUGCCAAAAAGAUUAAAAUGUUCUAUCAUUCUGCUAGCUCGGAGUUCUAUUUUCUGCUCACUGUUGUCUUGGAGAAUGUUUUGUUUUCCAUGUUGCUUUUGUAUGCACUUCAUGUUCCCCAUAUGAAAUUAUAUUCAUCUAUCAUCAAGAGGAACUACUCCUUUGUUUGGCUUACAUGGUGAG
rnacentral:lncRNA from 1 species